rnacentral:rRNA from 1 species
AACGAACGUGGCGGCGUGGAUUAGGCAUGCAAGUCGAACGGGCCUGGUUUUCGGAUCAGGUCAGUGGCGUAAGGGUGAGUAAGGCGACGGCAACCAACCCCAUGGUUGGGCAUAGCUGCGGGAAACUGCGGGUAAUUCCCAGCGAUGUUCGCGUCGGGCAUCCGGUGCGAACCAAAGUUUCGGCGCCGUGGGACGGGCCGUCGUGGUAUUAGGUCGUUGGCGGGGUAAUGGCCCACCAAGCCUCUGAUGCCUACCGGGCGUGCGAGCGUGGCCCGGCACACUGGGACUGAGACACUGCCCAGACUCCUACGGGAGGCUGCAGUCGAGAAUCUUCGGCAAUGGGCGCAAGCCUGACCGAGCGACGCCGCGUGGAGGAUGAAGGCCUUCGGGUUGUAAACUCCUGUCGAGGGGGAGGAAGGCGUAAGCUUGACCUACCCCUGGAGGAAGCACGGGCUAAGUUCGUGCCAGCAGCCGCGGUAAGACGAACCGUGCGAACGUUAUUCGGAAUCACUGGGCUUAAAGCGCGUGUAGGCGGAUGGGGACGUCGGUUGCUGAAAGCCCCCGGCUCAACCGGGGAACUGGCACCGAAACGCCCC